AGAGUUUGAUCAUGGCUCAGAACGAACGCUGGCGGCAGGCCUAACACAUGCAAGUCUAGCGCCCCGCAAGGGGAACGGCGGACGGGUGAGUAACGCGUGGGAAUUUUUCCUGGAGUACGGAACAACCGAGGGAAACUUCGGCUAAUACCGUAUGAUGCCGAGAGGCCAAAGAUUUAUCGCUCUGGGGUGAGCCCGCGUCAGAUUAGGUAGUUGGUGGGGUAAAGGCCUACCAAGCCUGCGAUCUGUAGCUGGUCUGAGAGGACGAUCAGCCACACUGGGACUGAGACACGGCCCAGACUCCUACGGGAGGCAGCAGUGGGGAAUCUUGCGCAAUGGGCGAAAGCCUGACGCAGCCAUGCCGCGUGAGUGAAGAAGGUCUUAGGAUUGUAAAGCUCUUUCGCCCGUGACGAUGAUGACGGUAACGGGAGAAGAAGCCCCGGCUAACUUCGUGCCAGCAGCCGCGGUAAUACGAAGGGGGCUAGCGUUGUUCGGAAUUACUGGGCGUAAAGCGCGCGUAGGCGGUUUUGCAAGCCAGAGGUGAAAUGCCUGAGCUCAACUCAGGAAUGGCCUUUGGGACUGCGAGGCUUUGAGGACUGGAGAGGUGAGUGGAAUUCCCAGUGUAGAGGUGAAAUUCGUAGAUAUUGGGAAGAACACCGGUGGCGAGGGCGGCUCACUGGCCAGUUUCUGACGCUGCAGCGCGAAAGCGUGGGGAUCAAACAGGAUUAGAUACCCUAGUAGUCC
rnacentral:rRNA from 1 species